AUGGCUGUCGUCAGCUCGUGUCGUGAGAUGUUGGGUUAAGUCCCGCAACGAGCGCAACCUCUGUCGUUAGUUGCCAGCCUUAAGUGGGGCACUCUAACGAGACUGCCGACGUCAAGUCGGAGGAAGGUGGAGAUGACGUCAAGUCCUCAUGGCCCUUAUGCCCAGGGCUACACACGUGCUACAAUGGCCAGUACAAAGGGUUGCGAUACCGCAAGGUGGAGCCAAUCCCAAAAAACUGUCCUCAGUUCGGAUUGUAGUCUGCAACUCGACUACAUGAAGCUGGAAUCGCUAGUAAUCGUAGAUCAGCACGCUACGGUGAAUACGUUCCCGGGCCUUGUACACACCGCCCGUCACACCAUGGGAGUCAGUUGCUCUAAAAGUCGGUGCGCCAACCUCGUGAGGCAGCCGCCUAAAGAGUGCCUGGUGACUGGGGUGAAGUCGUAACAAGGUAACCGUAGGGGAACCUGCGGUUGGAUCACCUCCUUUCUGGAGUCUGUUGCCACUUUAUGUGUCAACGAUUUCGGUCAAUCCCAAUUUCGAUUGUUUGGCUUGCUAUUCGGUCUUGAGAGACCGAUUCACGCGGGCCAGUAGCUCAGUUGGUUAGAGCGCGCGCUUGAUAAGCGUGAGGUCGAAAGUUCAAGUCUUUCUUGGCCCACGCCGGUCGAGCUCACGCAGUAACCGAUAGAGACUGCUGGAACGCGAACGGACUGAUAACUUAAUAGUUGAACGAAGUGCGAAGCACGAACGAGCUCCCGAAGUGGGAGCUCGAGGUCAGACAAAUGAUCGUGCUACAUCGCAUGAGAUCCCAAUAGGAUAUGGCGCUAUCUAGUCGCCAUCUCCUUUGAGACAAUCAAUCAAGCGUCACGAAUGGGAAGGCGAACGAAGAUAAUAGGGAGUGAUGACUUGGCCAUCUGCCGGCGACCCUCGAAAGAGAGUCACCAGUUUCGGUGGUCAAGCUAGUAAGAGCAUUCGGUGGAUGCCUUGGCACCAAGAGGCGAUGAAGGACGUGGUAAAACUGCGAAAAGCGACGGUGAGCCGUAUACAGGCGUUGACCCGUCGAUCUCCGAAUGGGGAAACCCGG
rnacentral:sRNA from 1 species